rnacentral:rRNA from 1 species
UACGGAGGGGGCUAGCGUUGCUCGGAAUUACUGGGCGUAAAGGGCGCGUAGGCGGAUUGCAUAGUUGGGCGUGAAAGCCCCGGGCUCAACCUGGGAACUGCGCUCAAUACUCGCAGUCUAGAGUUCCGGAGAGGGUGGUGGAAUUCCCAGUGUAGAGGUGAAAUUCGUAGAUAUUGGGAAGAACACCAGUGGCGAAGGCGGCCACCUGGACGGACACUGACGCUGAGGCGCGAAAGCGUGGGGAGCAAAC